UCCCUCCUGCCCUGCGCCUGCCCAGCCCUCCAGCCCUGGUGGCCAAGGACCCCGGGCAGGGCCGGUGCUGGGUGUAGGGCGGCGGG
rnacentral:miRNA from 1 species